rnacentral:rRNA from 1 species
GAUGAACGCUGGCGGCGUGCCUAAUACAUGCAAGUAGAACGCUGAAGGAGGAGCUUGCUCUUCUGGAUGAGUUGCGAACGGGUGAGUAACGCGUAGGUAACCUGCCUGGUAGCGGGGGAUAACUAUUGGAAACGAUAGCUAAUACCGCAUGACAACAGUUAUUGCAUGAUAACUGUUUAAAAGGGGCAACUGCUCCACUACCAGAUGGACCUGCGUUGUAUUAGCUAGUUUGUGAGGUAACGGCUCACCAAGGCGACGAUACAUAGCCGACCUGAGAGUGUGAUCGGCCACACUGGGACUGAGACACGGCCCAGACUCCUACGGGAGGCAGCAGUAGGGAAUCUUCGGCAAUGGACGGAAGUCUGACCGAGCAACGCCGCGUGAGUGAAGAAGGUUUUCGGAUCGUAAAGCUCUGUUGUAAGAGAAGAACGAGUGUGAGAGUGGAAAGUUCACACUGUGACGGUAUCUUACCAGAAAGGGACGGCUAACUACGUG